rnacentral:rRNA from 2 species
CCUGGCGGCAGUAGCGCGGUGGUCCCACCUGACCCCAUGCCGAACUCAGAAGUGAAACGCCGUAGCGCCGAUGGUAGUGUGGGGUCUCCCCAUGCGAGAGUAGG